rnacentral:tRNA from 1 species
GCGAUUAUGGCGAAGCUGGUUAACGCACCUGAUUGUGAAUCAGGCAUUUCACGGGUUCGAGUCCCGUUAGUCGCCCCA